AAAGGAAAGCGGCAAACGGCGUAGUAAUGCGUAGGUACGUACCCUCGGGUCGGGAAUAGCCACGGGAAACUGUGGGUAAUGCCCGAUAAUCUCUGCGGAGCAAAGGUGUGAUUCCGCCUGAGGAGCGGCUUACGUGAUAUUAGCUUGUUGGUGGGGUAAUGGCCUACCAAGGCAACGAUGUCUAGGGGGUGUGAGAGCAUGGCCCCCACGACCGGAACUGAGACACUGUCCGGACACCUACGGGUGGCUGCAGUCGAGAAUCUUCCGCAAUGGACGAAAGUCUGACGGAGCGACGCCGCGUGCGGGAUGAAGGCCCUUGGGUUGUAAACCGCUGUCAGAGGGGAUGAAAUCAUGGUUGGCUAUCCUUCCAUGUUGACAGAGCCUCAGAGGAAGCACGGGCUAAGUACGUGCCAGCAGCCGCGGUAACACGUACUGUGCGAACGUUAUUCGGAAUCACUGGGCUUAAAGGGUACGUAGGCGGUUAAUCAAGUCAGGUGUGAAAUGCCUGAGCUCAACUGAGGCACUGCGCUUGAAACUGAUUAGCUAGAGUAUCCCAGGGGUGUGCGGAACUGCCAGUGGAGCGGUGAAAUGCGUUGAUAUUGGCAGGAACACCGGAGGCGAAAGGCGGCACACUGGGGGGAUAACUGACGCUGAGGUACGAAAGCCAGGGUAGCGAACGGGAUUAGAUACCCCGGUAGUCCUGGCUGUAAACGAUGAGCACUGGGC
rnacentral:rRNA from 1 species